AGCUACUUCCCAGAUUGAAUCGAGAUCUUAUCCUAUUCAUAAGUUUAUUCGCGAGCUAUUUUUUUAAUAAUUUGUAGAAAUCUAGUACCAAAUAGCAAUAAAAUAUGAAUUCAAAAGUUCUUCUAUUGACGAUGAUGUUGAUGACAUUCUGCGUUGCGGACGGAUGGCUUUUCGGUCAUCAUCAUCAUUAUCAUCAUCAUCACUAUUAUUAUGGAUGUGAUAUGGAUGAUAACGAACAAAAUGCAGAAAGGCGAAUUGAUUCAGCUGAAAACGAAGAUGCACUUUUCCAUCCAGUAGAAGACGUUGAUAUGAAGAUGAACCAGUGAUAAGAGGAGCGCAAUUCAUGAAAACAUAUAUAUUCAGUCUCUUUUAAGUAAUCAAGAAAAAUAUAUAAAAUUUAGAAUAACAUGAAAAUUAUUAUGACCCAAGACGAUAUGAACUAUAUACCUAGUACUUUAUGAGUAAAACUAAUAUUGUUAUUUGAUUGGUGGUGAAUAUAAAUUGAAAUAUGAUA